GGCGAACGCUGGCGGCGUGCCUAAUACAUGCAAGUUGAGCGCUGAAGGUUGGUACUUGUACCAACUGGAUGAGCAGCGAACGGGUGAGUAACGCGUGGGGAAUCUGCCUUUGAGCGGGGGACAACAUUUGGAAACGAAUGCUAAUACCGCAUAAAAACUUUAAACACAAGUUUUAAGUUUGAAAGAUGCAAUUGCAUCACUCAAAGAUGAUCCCGCGUUGUAUUAGCUAGUUGGUGAGGUAAAGGCUCACCAAGGCGAUGAUACAUAGCCGACCUGAGAGGGUGAUCGGCCACAUUGGGACUGAGACACGGCCCAAACUCCUACGGGAGGCAGCAGUAGGGAAUCUUCGGCAAUGGACGAAAGUCUGACCGAGCAACGCCGCGUGAGUGAAGAAGGUUUUCGGAUCGUAAAACUCUGUUGGUGGAGAAGAACGUUGGUGAGAGUGGAAAGCUCAUCAAGUGACGGUAACUACCCAGAAAGGGACGGCUAACUACGUG
rnacentral:rRNA from 1 species